rnacentral:rRNA from 1 species
GACGAACGCUGGCGGCGUGCCUAACACAUGCAAGUUGAGCGACGAACCAGGGCUUGCCCUGGGGCAAAGCAGCGAACGGGUGAGUAACACGUGGGUAACCUACCCCGAUAACCGGGACAACCCGAGGAAACUCGGGCUAAUACCGGAUGUGCUCACUGGACUUCGGUUCAGUGCGUAAAGGAAGCUUCGGCCUCCGUAUCGGGAGGGGCCCGCGGCCCAUUAGUUUGUUGGUGAGGUAACGGCUCACCAAGACCGCGAUGGGUAGCUGGUCUGAGAGGACGAUCAGCCACACUGGGACUGAGACACGGCCCAGACUCCUACGGGAGGCAGCAGUGGGGAAGCUUGCGCAAUGCGCGAAAGCGUGACGCAGCAACGCCGCGUGGGGGAAGAAGGCCUUCGGGUUGUAAACCCCUUUCAGGAGGGACGAAGGUUCGGCGGUGAAUAGCCGUCCGGACUGACGGCACCUCCACAAGAAGCCCCGGCUAACUACGUG